rnacentral:rRNA from 1 species
GAUGAACGCUGGCGGUCUGCUUAACACAUGCAAGUCGAACGGAAUCCUUCGGGAUUUAGUGGCGGACGGGUGAGUAACGCGUGAGAAUCUGCCUUCAGGUUCGGGACAACAGCUGGAAACGGCUGCUAAUACCGGAUGUGCCGAGAGGUGAAAGCUUUAGUGCCUGAAGAUGAGCUCGCGUCUGAUUAGCUAGUAGGAGUGGUAAUGGCACCCCUAGGCGACGAUCAGUAGCUGGUCUGAGAGGAUGAUCAGCCACACUGGGACUGAGACACGGCCCAGACUCCUACGGGAGGCAGCAGUGGGGAACUUUCCGCGAUGGGCGCAAGCCUGACGGAGCAAGACCGCGUGAGGGAAGAAGGUCUGUGGAUUGUAAACCUCUUUUGAUGGGGAAGAAGACAGUGACGGUACCCAUCGAAUCAGCCUCGGCUAACUCCGUGCCAGCCGCCGCAGUAA